CUACGGGGCGCUGCAGUGAGGAAUAUUGCACAAUGGGGGGAACCCUGAUGCAGCAACGCCGCGUGGAGGAUGACGCAUUUCGGUGUGUAAACUCCUUUUAUAUGUCAAGAAAAUGACGGUAGCAUAUGAAUAAGCACCGGCUAACUCCGUGCCAGCAGCCGCGGUAAUACGGAGGGUGCAAGCGUUACUCGGAAUCACUGGGCGUAAAGGACGCGUAGGCGGGUUGGAAAGUCAGGUGUGAAAUCCUACAGCUUAACUGUAGAACUGCACUUGAAACUUCUAAUCUAGAGUAUGGGAGGGGGGGAUGGAAUUAGUGGUGUAGGGGUAAAAUCCGUAGAUAUCACUAGGAAUACCUAAAGCGAAGGCGAUCUCCUGGAACAUUACUGACGCUAAGGCGUGAAAGCGUGGGGAGCAAACAGGAUUAGAUACCCCGGUAGUC
rnacentral:rRNA from 1 species